rnacentral:rRNA from 1 species
GAUGAACGCUGGCGGCGUGCUUAACACAUGCAAGUCGAACGAUGAAGCCCAGCUUGCUGGGUGGAUUAGUGGCGAACGGGUGAGUACACGUGAGUAACCUGCCCUUAACUCUGGGAUAAGCCUGGGAAACUGGGUCUAAUACCGGAUAGGAGCGUCCACCGCAUGGUGGGUGUUGGAAAGAUUUAUCGGUUUUGGAUGGACUCGCGGCCUAUCAGCUUGUUGGUGAGGUAAUGGCUCACCAAGGCGACGACGGGUAGCCGGCCUGAGAGGGUGACCGGCCACACUGGGACUGAGACACGGCCCAGACUCCUACGGGAGGCAGCAGUGGGGAAUAUUGCACAAUGGGCGCAAGCCUGAUGCAGCGACGCCGCGUGAGGGAUGACGGCCUUCGGGUUGUAAACCUCUUUCAGUAGGGAAGAAGCGAAAGUGACGGUACCUGCAGAAGAAGCACCGGCUAACUACGUG